GGGUGCCCUCUGACCUACAGCAAAGAUGAGCAGGCAGGCUUACCCACAGUUCUUCCUCUGGGGAACACAUAUUCAGUGGCAAACUCUGCACUCUCCACUGCCUCCUCAUGGUCAUCUUUGAGCUUGCUGCUGAUCAGCACUUCCAAACCCAGAAAGUCUACACAAGACUACAGAAGAGGAAAGGCUCUUAUGGCUGACUGAUAACCUUGGCAAGCAUUGCAUAGCUGGGCCAGCCUGAGGAAGUGUUUUGCAAAGUGGAUUGUGCAAAUUCACUGCUGGUAUAUCUCAAACUAUGUGCUGUAAGAUUUUUUUCUCCCCACUA
ensembl:lincRNA Gm32250 predicted gene, 32250